UUUAUACCCCCGCACAACAAAGUUGUAAGGGGGGUAUACUGGAAUCAGCUUGUCCGUCCGUCCGUCCGGCCGUCCGUCGGUUUUUUCUUGUCCGCCCAAUAACUUAAGAUUCCUUUGACCCUUAGUCUUCAUAUUUGGCAUGGAGGUUAGUCAUGAUUAGUAGAUGACCCCUAUUGAUUUUGAGGUCACUAGGUCAAAGGUCAAGGUCAAAGGGGCCUUGACUUCAAAAAGCUUGUCCGCCCAAUAACUUAAGAUUCCUUUGACCUACAGUCGUCAUAUUUGGCAUGGAGGUUAGUCAUGAUAAGUAGAUGACCCCUAUUGAUUUUGAGGUCACUAGGUCAAAGGUCAAGGUCACAGGGGCCUUGACUUCAAAAGGCUUGUCCGCCCAAUAACUUAAGAUUCCUUUGACCUACAGUCGUCAUAUUUGGCAUGGAGGUUAGUCAUGAUUAGUAGAUGACCCUAUUGAUUUUGAGGUCACUAGGUCAAAGGUCAAGGUCACAGGGCCUUGACUUCAAAAAGCUUGUCUGCCCAAAACUUAAGAUUCCUUUGACCUACAGUAGUCAUAUUUGGCAUGGAGGUUAGUCAUGAUUAGUAGAUGACCCCUAUUGAUUUUGAGGUCACUAGGUCAAAGGUCAAGGUCACAGGGACUUUGACUUCAAAAAGCUUGUCCGCCCAAUAACUUAAGAUUCCUUUGACCUACAGUCGUCAUAUUUGGCAUGGAGGUUAGUCAUGAUUAGUAGAUGACCCCUAUUGAUUUUGAGGUCACUAGGUCAAACGUCAAGGUCACAGGGGCCUUGACUUCAAAAAGCUUGUCCGCCCAAUAACUUAAGAUUCCUUUGACCCACAGUCGUCAUAUUUGGCAUGGAGGUUAGUCAUGAUUAGUAGAUGACCCCUAUUGAUUUUGAGGUCACCAGGUCAAAGGUCAAGGUCACAGGGGCCUUGACUUCAAAAAGCUUGUCCGCCCAAUAACUUAAGAUUCCUUUGACCCACAGUCGUCAUAUUUGGCAUGGAGGUUAGUCAUGAUUAGUAGAUGACCCCUAUUGAUUUUGAGGUCACCAGGUCAAAGGUCAAGGUCACAGGGGCCUUUACUUCAAAAAGCUUGUCCGCCCAAUAACUUAAGAUUCCUAUGACCCACAGUCUUCAUAUUUGGAAUGGAGGUUAGUCAUGAUUAGUAGAUGACCCCUAUUGACUUUGAGGUCACCAGGUCAAAGGUCAAGGUCACAGGGGCCUUUACUUCAAAAAGCUUGUCCGCCCAAUAACUUAAGAUUCCUUUGACCCACAGUCUUCAUAUUUGGAAUGGAGGUUAGUCAUGAUUAGUAGAUGACCCCUAUUGAUUUUGAGGUCACCAGGUCAAAGGUCAAGGUCACAGGGGCCUUGACUUCAAAAAGCUUGUCCGCCCAAUAACUUAAGAUUCCUUUGACCUACAGUCGUCAUAUUUGGCAUGGAGGUUAGUCAUGAUUAGUAGAUGACCCCUAUUGAUUUUGAGGUCACUAGGUCAAAGGUCAAGGUCACAGGGGCCUUGACUUCAAAAAGCUUGUCCGCCCAAUAACUUAAGAUUCCUUUGACCCACAGUCGUCAUAUUUGGCAUGGAGGUUAGUCAUGAUUAGUAGAUGACCCCUAUUGAUUUUGAGGUCACCAGGUCAAAGGUCAAGGUCACAGGGCCUUGACUUCAAAAAGCUUGUCCGCCCUAUAACUUAAGAUUCCUUUGACCCACAGUCGUCAUAUUUGGCAUGGAGGUUAGUCAUGAUUAGUAGAUGACCCCUAUUGACUUUGAGGUCACCAGGUCAAAGGUCAAGGUCACAGGGGUGCUUGACUUCAAAAGCUUGUCCGCCCUAUAACUUAAGAUUCCUUUGACCCACAGUCGUCAUAUUUGGCAUGGAGGUUAGUCAUGAUUAGUAGAUGACCCCUAUUGACUUUGAGGUCACCAGGUCAAAGGUCAAGGUCACAGGGGUCUUGACUUCAAAAAGCUUGUCCGCCCUAUAACUUAAGAUUCCUUUGACCCACAGUCUUCAUAUUUGGCAUUGAGGUUAGUCGUGAUUAGUAGAUGACCCCUAUUGACUUUGAGGUCACCAGGUCAAAGGUCACAGGGGCCUUGACUUCAAAAAGCUUGUCCGCCCAAUAACUUAAGAUUCCUAUGACCCACAGUCUUCAUAUUUGGAAUGGAGGUUAGUCAUGAUUAGUAGAUGACCCCUUUUGAUUUUGAGGUCACUGGAUCAAAGGUCAAGGUCAUAGGGACUUUGACUUCAAAAAGUUUGUCCACCCAUUAACUUAAGAUUCCUUUGACCCACAGUCUUCAAAUUUGGCAUGGAUGUUGAUCAUGACUAUAAGGUGACCCCUAUUGAUUUUGAGGUCACUGGGUCAAAGUUCAAGGUCACAGGGACCUUGACAAAAAAAAAAAGCUUUUCUUCUCAUUUGCUAAAGAAUGUCCUGUCUGCAAUGUAUUGAUUUUGACAUUUUCAUAUUUGAAGCAUGUAGAAUACAUAACUUAGCAAUGCAAUGGCUUAGUAACCUCAGAUUUGGCAGGGAGGUUGUCCUUGCGCUCUAAAUGGCCACUGUUGAUUCUGACAAAGUGGUAUGCGGGGGUAUUCACGCCAAGAUAGUGGCAGUUCUAGUUGAAAUAAUUUUAUAGACUUUUUGUAUCAUAUGUUAUUGUGGAUGUCCAUGAUAAUAGUUUUCUAAUAAUGUGUGAACAAAUGUCAGUAAAUUGGGAACAUUAUCAAACAUGAUAACAUUUACUUUAUUCAGAUAAUAAUUAACAUUUCAAAUGGAUAGUCCAUAUUUGUUGGAAGUUUGCAAUUUGUUCGUGUAAAUUUUCAUGAAUAAUUUGGGAAUUCUCUAAUUAUAAUUAAGAAAUAAGAGUAAGUAUUUAACAUUGCUGAGUAAGCUUCACCAGAAGUUAUUUGUUGUGUUCAACUAUUCAGGUAAAUUUCAGGGUUCAGAUUUACUUUUCCUGCAGGGCUUUUUUUUCACAGUACAGGUAAGGGCUCCUUCCCUAAA